rnacentral:tRNA from 1 species
GGCUCCGAAGCUUGUAGGUUGAAGCUCCCAUCUAGUAAAUAGGAAGUUGUGAGUUCGAUCCCCACCGGAGCAC